rnacentral:rRNA from 1 species
UUGAACGCUGGCGGCAGGUCUAACACAUGCAAGUCGAACGGUAACAGGAAGCAGCUUGCUGCUUCGCUGACGAGUGGCGGACGGGUGAGUAAUGUCUGGGAAACUGCCUGAUGGAGGGGGAUAACUACUGGAAACGGUAGCUAAUACCGCAUAACGUCGCAAGACCAAAGAGGGGGACCUUAGGGCCUCUUGCCAUCGGAUGUGCCCAGAUGGGAUUAGCUAGUAGGUGGGGUAACGGCUCACCUAGGCGACGAUCCCUAGCUGGUCUGAGAGGAUGACCAGCCACACUGGAACUGAGACACGGUCCAGACUCCUACGGGAGGCAGCAGUGGGGAAUAUUGCACAAUGGGCGCAAGCCUGAUGCAGCCAUGCCGCGUGUAUGAAGAAGGCCUUCGGGUUGUAAAGUACUUUCAGCGGGGAGGAAGGGAGUAAAGUUAAUACCUUUGCUCAUUGACGUUACCCGCAGAAGAAGCACCGGCUAACUCCGUG